AAUUUUGUCUCCUUGGGCUCUUUUGUUAGAAUGUUCUUUUAAAGAAUUUUUGAAGAGGAAGUUCUUUUUUUUUAAAUGGCUUUACAGAAUUCUAAAUAGAAUACAACUCGGCAUAAUGGAAAAAAAUGUUGGUCUGACUUCCAAAAAUACAGAACUAAGAGGAUUUACAGAUCAGAAUCUCAGUCCAACAAAAGGUAA